AGCCUCCGUGGCGCAAUCGUCUAGCGCGUUCGGCUGUUAACCGAAAGGUUGGUGGUUCGAGUCCACCCGGGGUGA
rnacentral:tRNA from 1 species